UUUUCCAGUUUCAAAGUUCAUUCAGAAGUGUCCUUUUGAAGAACACAUGUAAAAUAUGAGUGUUAUCUAUCAAUAAAAUCUUUCAAUCAAGAUUUUCUGUAAGUUUGCAAUUUCAUUAUCAUCAUUAUUUUCAGUUAAAUAUUAUUGCAAUUUCAUUAUCAUCAUUAUUUUCAGUUAAAUAUUAUUGCAAUUUCAUUAUCAGUUUUAUUUAACUGCAGUUAUAUAUAUAUAAUAUGUUUUCAUCUCUCUGCAGUUUGCUAUUUUCUUCCUGUUCGUUUGUUAUUGUUUUGGUUCUACAAAGUUUCGGAUAUCAACAAUAGCCACUUCGUGAACUAAAUCAAAAGGCUAGAACUCAUUAACCAUUUAGAAAUCAAAACAGAAUUGAAGCUUUUAAAAUUACUUUCAUGGGUUAGGAUCAGUUUGAGUUGUACGUAACCCAAAUCCAUGAUAAGCUUCUCUAACCUUAAUUGAGAAGAAUGACAUUGACAAUAAAAAUUAACCUUACAUAUUUCUUACUUGAUUAUUGUGGCUUCAAAAUAGUGCUUCAACAAUCCAACAAGAAAAAUUGAAGAAAAAGAAUGAGAAGCGUAGCUCUGGACUAAGGGACAUGGAAGAUAAGGUGUGAAGAUGAAUGAUGGGAAGUAGAAGAAUGAGGAGAAAGAGAUGCGAACGUGAAAACAUAUGGGUUUUUUUUUUUUGGAAUUCUGAAAUUUUCGUUAAACUCUAGCGCCUCUCCAAACUGAUUGCCACAUAAUCAGAAAAUGAAAGCAUAUUUAUACCAGCCUUCCCUUAUAGCUUUCUUUUACAACCAUUUUUAACAAUAAGUUAUUUUCUUAUAGUUUACCAAACAAAGAUAGGCUUCCCAAAUUAAAAAAAAAUAAAAUAAAAUUAUUUUUUACUCCAAAUAAUCAACGCCAAAUAGACUCUUAAAGUGAUUAUAUAAAAAAAUAAUUCUUUAUAUUAAGUGAUUUUUGGCCCAUCAAAAAUUAAUGAACCAUAUAUCUAACAAAAGCUCCAAAUAA
rnacentral:lncRNA from 1 species